UUUUAUUUUAUUUAUUUAUUUUUUGAGUAGGAAUCUCAUUCUGUCGCUCAGGCUGGAGUGCAGUGGCACACUUACUGAUGCCGCAGCCUCAGCCUGCUAGGU
rnacentral:snoRNA from 1 species